rnacentral:rRNA from 1 species
GAUGAACGCUGGCGGCGUGCCUAAUACAUGCAAGUCGAGCGAACAGACGAGGAGCUUGCUCCUCUGACGUUAGCGGCGGACGGGUGAGUAACACGUGGAUAACCUACCUAUAAGACUGGGAUAACUUCGGGAAACCGGAGCUAAUACCGGAUAAUAUAUUGAACCGCAUGGUUCAAUAGUGAAAGACGGUUUUGCUGUCACUUAUAGAUGGAUCCGCGCCGCAUUAGCUAGUUGGUAAGGUAACGGCUUACCAAGGCAACGAUGCGUAGCCGACCUGAGAGGGUGAUCGGCCACACUGGAACUGAGACACGGUCCAGACUCCUACGGGAGGCAGCAGUAGGGAAUCUUCCGCAAUGGGCGAAAGCCUGACGGAGCAACGCCGCGUGAGUGAUGAAGGUCUUCGGAUCGUAAAACUCUGUUAUUAGGGAAGAACAAAUGUGUAAGUAAAUAUGAACGUCUUGACGGUACCUAAUCAGAAAGCCACGGCUAACUACGUG